UAAGAGGUACAAGCUUUACUACAUUAUGUACAUUCAUUUUAUGCAUAGAAAAUCUUAUCCUGUAAACAAAAAGUAAAAUGAAAAUGUCAAAAAAUCAUCUUCAAAUUCGGAAUCGCUCAAAGAGCAGUUGAAUCGGUCAACAUAAGACUCCCCUUAAGAACUCCAUCAUCUGAUCCCCGCACCUAACUCUGAAUCUCGCCUCAUUCUCCACCGAAGAACAUAAAACAUAAAGUUGGUCUCCCGUACUCUCCCAUGGUGUCUCACUCAAAUUCGUUUCAUGGAAAACCCUAACCACAAAAUCUGAUAGCCUCUGCCAACCACCAUUUUUGCCUUGCUGCUAAACGGACUACCUUCCAUCGUCUGAUAAACUCAACACCACCACUCACCGUUUCUUUCUCUAUCUAUGUUCACCAUAGAAUCGAUGAAAGUCAUAAGGUUCUAUUGAUUUAUUUUUCAGAUCUUAAAAUGAAUAUCAAGAUUGGUUCCAGGGUCAGUAACAGAGGCGUCGGAGGGAGGUGGUGGCGGCGGUUGUAACGGUGACGAAGCUGGCGUAGAUGGUGUCGGCAACCACCAAGCUCCACCGACGUCAUCCCUUCCUUCAACCACAAGCGGCGUUACCAUUGUUAUUGCAUUCAAGCAUUGAUAAAUGUCAAGACCUCUAAGUCGUAGUUGUUUUUUGAACAUGAAUGAAGAUGCUAUCUGACUUCAUGUGUGUGUUUAUUGGGAUGAAAAUGGGAAAGAACGUGAAAGAAUAGGGCUGAUGGAAUGAAAAUCGGAGUGAUGAACAGGAACAAGAUCACUAACUUAUCUGGUGGUUCAUAUUGGGGAAUUGAUAAUUACCUCUAUAUGGAUUGUGUCUCUUGUUGAUAUAUACAACAAGAAAAAGAGAUGUUUAAAUAUAUACCAGUAUGUCAUAUUUAAAUCUCUUUACAUAUUUAAAAAUCAUUUCAUAAUUAUUUUAGUAAUUUAAGCAUUAUUAUUCA